rnacentral:rRNA from 1 species
GGUUAAGCGACUAAGCGUACACGGUGGAUGCCCUGGCAGUCAGAGGCGAUGAAGGACGUGCUAAUCUGCGAUAAGCGUCGGUAAGGUGAUAUGAACCGUUAUAACCGGCGAUUUCCGAAUGGGGAAACCCAGUGUGUUUCGACACACUAUCAUUAACUGAAUCCAUAGGUUAAUGAGGCGAACCGGGGGAACUGAAACAUCUAAGUACCCCGAGGAAAAGAAAUCAACCGAGAUUCCCCCAGUAGCGGCGAGCGAACGGGGAGCAGCCCAGAGCCUGAAUCAGUGUGUGUGUUAGUGGAAGCGUCUGGAAAGGCGCGCGAUACAGGGUGACAGCCCCGUACACAAAAAUGCACAUAUUGUGAGCUCGAUGAGUAGGGCGGGACACGUGGUAUCCUGUCUGAAUAUGGGGGGACCAUCCUCCAAGGCUAAAUACUCCUGACUGACCGAUAGUGAACCAGUACCGUGAGGGAAAGGCGAAAAGAACCCCGGCGAGGGGAGUGAAAAAGAACCUGAAACCGUGUACGUACAAGCAGUGGGAGCACGCUUCGGCGUGUGACUGCGUACCUUUUGUAUAAUGGGUCAGCGACUUAUAUUCUGUAGCAAGGUUAACCGAAUAGGGGAGCCGAAGGGAAACCGAGUCUUAACUGGGCGUUAAGUUGCAGGGUAUAGACCCGAAACCCGGUGAUCUAGCCAUGGGCAGGUUGAAGGUUGGGUAACACUAACUGGAGGACCGAACCGACUAAUGUUGAAAAAUUAGCGGAUGACUUGUGGCUGGGGGUGAAAGGCCAAUCAAACCGGGAGAUAGCUGGUUCUCCCCGAAAGCUAUUUAGGUAGCGCCUCGUGAAUUCAUCUCCGGGGGUAGAGCACUGUUUCGGCAAGGGGGUCAUCCCGACUUACCAACCCGAUGCAAACUGCGAAUACCGGAGAAUGUUAUCACGGGAGACACACGGCGGGUGCUAACGUCCGUCGUGAAGAGGGAAACAACCCAGACCGCCAGCUAAGGUCCCAAAGUCAUGGUUAAGUGGGAAACGAUGUGGGAAGGCCCAGACAGCCAGGAUGUUGGCUUAGAAGCAGCCAUCAUUUAAAGAAAGCGUAAUAGCUCACUGGUCGAGUCGGCCUGCGCGGAAGAUGUAACGGGGCUAAACCAUGCACCGAAGCUGCGGCAGCGACACUAUGUGUUGUUGGGUAGGGGAGCGUUCUGUAAGCCUGUGAAGGUGUACUGUGAGGUAUGCUGGAGGUAUCAGAAGUGCGAAUGCUGACAUAAGUAACGAUAAAGCGGGUGAAAAGCCCGCUCGCCGGAAGACCAAGGGUUCCUGUCCAACGUUAAUCGGGGCAGGGUGAGUCGACCCCUAAGGCGAGGCCGAAAGGCGUAGUCGAUGGGAAACAGGUUAAUAUUCCUGUACUUGGUGUUACUGCGAAGGGGGGACGGAGAAGGCUAUGUUGGCCGGGCGACGGUUGUCCCGGUUUAAGCGUGUAGGCUGGUUUUCCAGGCAAAUCCGGAAAAUCAAGGCUGAGGCGUGAUGACGAGGCACUACGGUGCUGAAGCAACAAAUGCCCUGCUUCCAGGAAAAGCCUCUAAGCAUCAGGUAACAUCAAAUCGUACCCCAAACCGACACAGGUGGUCAGGUAGAGAAUACCAAGGCGCUUGAGAGAACUCGGGUGAAGGAACUAGGCAAAAUGGUGCCGUAACUUCGGGAGAAGGCACGCUGAUAUGUAGGUGAAGUCCCUUGCGGAUGGAGCUGAAAUCAGUCGAAGAUACCAGCUGGCUGCAACUGUUUAUUAAAAACACAGCACUGUGCAAACACGAAAGUGGACGUAUACGGUGUGACGCCUGCCCGGUGCCGGAAGGUUAAUUGAUGGGGUCAGCGCAAGCGAAGCUCUUGAUCGAAGCCCCGGUAAACGGCGGCCGUAACUAUAACGGUCCUAAGGUAGCGAAAUUCCUUGUCGGGUAAGUUCCGACCUGCACGAAUGGCGUAAUGAUGGCCAGGCUGUCUCCACCCGAGACUCAGUGAAAUUGAACUCGCUGUGAAGAUGCAGUGUACCCGCGGCAAGACGGAAAGACCCCGUGAACCUUUACUAUAGCUUGACACUGAACAUUGAGCCUUGAUGUGUAGGAUAGGUGGGAGGCUUUGAAGUGUGGACGCCAGUCUGCAUGGAGCCGACCUUGAAAUACCACCCUUUAAUGUUUGAUGUUCUAACGUUGACCCGUGAUCCGGGUUGCGGACAGUGUCUGGUGGGUAGUUUGACUGGGGCGGUCUCCUCCUAAAGAGUAACGGAGGAGCACGAAGGUUGGCUAAUCCUGGUCGGACAUCAGGAGGUUAGUGCAAUGGCAUAAGCCAGCUUGACUGCGAGCGUGACGGCGCGAGCAGGUGCGAAAGCAGGUCAUAGUGAUCCGGUGGUUCUGAAUGGAAGGGCCAUCGCUCAACGGAUAAAAGGUACUCCGGGGAUAACAGGCUGAUACCGCCCAAGAGUUCAUAUCGACGGCGGUGUUUGGCACCUCGAUGUCGGCUCAUCACAUCCUGGGGCUGAAGUAGGUCCCAAGGGUAUGGCUGUUCGCCAUUUAAAGUGGUACGCGAGCUGGGUUUAGAACGUCGUGAGACAGUUCGGUCCCUAUCUGCCGUGGGCGCUGGAGAACUGAGGGGGGCUGCUCCUAGUACGAGAGGACCGGAGUGGACGCAUCACUGGUGUUCGGGUUGUCAUGCCAAUGGCACUGCCCGGUAGCUAAAUGCGGAAGAGAUAAGUGCUGAAAGCAUCUAAGCACGAAACUUGCCCCGAGAUGAGUUCUCCCUGACUCCUUGAGAGUCCUGAAGGAACGUUGAAGACGACGACGUUGAUAGGCCGGGUGUGUAAGCGCAGCGAUGCGUUGAGCUAACCGGUACUAAUGAACCGUGAGGCUUAACCUU